CCUACGGGUGGCAGCAGUGGGGGAUAUUGCACAAUGGGGGGAACCCUGAUGCAGCGACGCCGCGUGGGUGAAGAAGCGCCUCGGCGCGUAAAGCCCUGUCAGCCGGGAAGAAAAUGACGGUACCUGAAGACGAAGCCCCGGCUAACUACGUGCCAGCAGCCGCGGUAAUACGGAGGGGGCCAGCGUUAUCCGGAUUUACUGGGUAUAAAGGGGGCGCAGACGGCGAUGCAAGCCAGGAGGGAAAGUCCGGGGGCCAACCCCGGGACUGCCCUUGGAACUGCGUGGCUGGAGUGGAGGAGGGGCAGGCGGAAUGCCUGGUGUAGCGGUGAAAUGCGUAGAUAUCAGGAGGAACACCGGUGGCGAAGGCAGCCUGCUGGAGUGCAACUGACGUUGAGGCCCGAAAGCGUGGGGAGCGAACAGGAUUAGAUACCCGGGUAGUC
rnacentral:rRNA from 1 species